GGAGAGCGCGCUAUCUGCAGUCGAAGAAGUGCAAUACUUAGUGGCAGACGGGUGAGUAACAUGUAGGUAUCUUCCCAUUGGUGAGGAAUAACACGAGGAAACUUGUGCUAAUACCUCAUAAGUCUUUACGGAGAAAGCUUUAUGCGCCGAUGGAUGAGCCUGCACUUGAUUAGUUUGUUGGUAGGGUAAUGGCCUACCAAGACAAUGAUCAAUAGCUGAUUUGAGAGGAUGAUCAGCCACAUUGGGACUGAGACACGGCCCAAACUCCUACGGGAGGCAGCAGUAGGGAAUCUUGCACAAUGGGGGAAACCCUGAUGCAGCGAUGCCGCGUGAGUGAAGAAGGCCUUUGGGUUGUAAAGCUCUUUCGUCGGGGAAGAAAAUGACUGUACCCGAAUAAGAAGGUCCGGCUAACUUCGUGCCAGCAGCCGCGGUAAUACGAAGGGACCUAGCGUAGUUCGGAAUUACUGGGCUUAAAGAGUUCGUAGGUGGUUAAAAAAGUUGGUGGUGAAAUCCCAGAGCUUAACUCUGGAACUGCCAUCAAAACUUUUUAGCUAGAGUAUGAUAGAGGAAAGCAGAAUUUCUAGUGUAGAGGUGAAAUUCGUAGAUAUUAGAAAGAAUACCGAUUGCGAAGGCAGCUUUCUGGAUCAUUACUGACACUGAGGAACGAAAGCAUGGGUAGCGAAGAGGAUUAGAUACCCUCGUAGUCCAUGCCGUAAACGAUGUGUGUUAGACGUUGGAAAUUUAUUUUCUGUGUCGCAGCGAAAGCAAUAAACACACCGCCUGGGGAGUACGACCGCAAGGUUAAAACUCAAAUGAAUUGACGGGGACCCGCAC
rnacentral:rRNA from 1 species